AGGUUAAGUGAAUAAGGGCGCACGGUGGAUGCCUUGGCACUAGGAGCCGAUGAAGGACGGGACUAACACCGAUAUGCUUCGGGGAGCUGUACGUAAGCUUUGAUCCGGAGAUUUCCGAAUGGGGAAACCCAGCAUCUUUUAUAGGAUGUUACUUUUCAGUGAAUACAUAGCUGAUUAGAGGUAGACGCAGAGAACUGAAACAUCUAAGUACCUGCAGGAAGAGAAAGAAAAUUCGAUUCCCUGAGUAGCGGCGAGCGAAACGGGAAAAGCCCAAACCAAGAGGCUUGCCUCUUGGGGUUGUAGGACUCCGAUAUGGUAGUCCAGUGAGAUAGUCGAAGGACCUGGAAAGGUCUGCUAGAAAGGGUAAUAGCCCCGUAGACAAAAUUUGACUGGCACCUAGGAGGAUCCUGAGUACGGCGGAACACGAGGAAUUCCGUCGGAAUCCGGGAGGACCAUCUCCCAAGGCUAAAUACUCCCUAGUGACCGAUAGUGAACCAGUACCGUGAGGGAAAGGUGAAAAGCACCCCGGAAGGGGAGUGAAAUAGAUCCUGAAACCGUGUGCCUACAACAAGUUAGAGCCCGUUAAUGGGUGAUAGCGUGCCUUUUGUAGAAUGAACCGGCGAGUUACGAUUACUUGCGAGGUUAAGUUGAAAAGACGGAGCCGUAGCGAAAGCGAGUCUGAAUAGGGCGAAUGAGUAAGUGGUCGUAGACCCGAAACCAUGUGAUCUACCCAUGUCCAGGUUGAAGGUGCGGUAAAACGCACUGGAGGACCGAACCCACGUACGUUGAAAAGUGCGGGGAUGAGGUGUGGGUAGCGGAGAAAUUCCAAACGAACUUGGAGAUAGCUGGUUCUCUCCGAAAUAGCUUUAGGGCUAGCCUCAGAGUAAGAAUGAUGGAGGUAGAGCACUGUUUGGACUAGGGGCCCAUCUCGGGUUACCGAAUUCAGAUAAACUCCGAAUGCCAUCCAUUCAUCUCUGGGAGUCAGACUGUGAGUGAUAAGAUCCAUAGUCGAAAGGGAAACAGCCCAGACCACCAGCUAAGGUCCCCAAAUAACUAUUAAGUGGAAAAGGAUGUGGGGUUGCACAGACAACUAGGAUGUUGGCUCAGAAGCAGCCACCAUUUAAAGAGUGCGUAAUAGCUCACUAGUCGAGUGACCCUGCGCCGAAAAUGUACCGGGGCUAAAUAGUUUACCGAAGCUGUGGAGCACACCAUAAGGUGUGUUGGUAGGAGAGCGUUCUAAGGGCGUUGAAGGUAGAUCGUGAGGACUGCUGGAGCGCUUAGAAGUGAGAAUGCCGGUAUGAGUAGCGAAAGACAGGUGAGAAUCCUGUCCACCGAAUGACUAAGGUUUCCUGGGGAAGGCUCGUCCGCCCAGGGUUAGUCGGGACCUAAGCCGAGGCCGAAAGGCGUAGGCGAUGGAUAACAGGUUGAUAUUCCUGUACCCGUUGUUUUUGUUUGAGCAAUGGAGGGACGCAGGAGGCUAAGGAAUCAGACGAUUGGAAAUGUCUGUCCAAGCAACAAGUCUUGAUGUGAGUCAAAUGCUUAUGUCUAUAAGGACAAGUUGUGAUGGGGAGGGAAAUAAUAGUACCGAAGUUCCCGAUGUCACACUGCCGAGAAAAGCUUCUAGUGAGAAAACAAUGGCCCGUACCGCAAACCGACACAGGUAGUCGAGGAGAGAAUCCUAAGGUGAGCGAGAGAACUCUCGUUAAGGAACUCGGCAAAAUGACCCCGUAACUUCGGGAGAAGGGGUGCUGAUCUAACGAUCAGCCGCAGUGAAUAGGCCCAAGCGACUGUUUAUCAAAAACACAGGUCUCUGCAAAAUCGAAAGAUGACGUAUAGGGGCUGACGCCUGCCCGGUGCUGGAAGGUUAAGAGGAGUGCUUAGCGUAAGCGAAGGUACGAAUUGAAGCCCCAGUAAACGGCGGCCGUAACUAUAACGGUCCUAAGGUAGCGAAAUUCCUUGUCGGGUAAGUUCCGACCCGCACGAAAGGCGUAACGAUUUGGGCACUGUCUCAACGAGAGACUCGGUGAAAUUUUAGUACCUGUGAAGAUGCAGGUUACCCGCGACAGGACGGAAAGACCCCAUGGAGCUUUACUGCAGUUUGAUAUUGAGUGUUUGUACCACAUGUACAGGAUAGGUAGGAGCCGUAGAAGUCGGGACGCUAGUUUCGACAGAGGCGCUGGUGGGAUACUACCCUUGUGUUAUGACCACUCUAACCCGCACCACUAAUCGUGGUGGGAGACAGUGUCAGAUGGGCAGUUUGACUGGGGCGGUCGCCUCCUAAAGAGUAACGGAGGCGCCCAAAGGUUCCCUCAGAAUGGUUGGAAAUCAUUCGCAGAGUGUAAAGGCACAAGGGAGCUUGACUGCGAGACCUACAAGUCGAGCAGGGACGAAAGUCGGGCUUAGUGAUCCGGUGGUUCCGCAUGGAAGGGCCAUCGCUCAACGGAUAAAAGCUACCCUGGGGAUAACAGGCUUAUCUCCCCCAAGAGUCCACAUCGACGGGGAGGUUUGGCACCUCGAUGUCGGCUCGUCGCAUCCUGGGGCUGUAGUCGGUCCCAAGGGUUGGGCUGUUCGCCCAUUAAAGCGGCACGCGAGCUGGGUUCAGAACGUCGUGAGACAGUUCGGUCCCUAUCCGUCGCGGGCGUUGGAAAUUUGAGAGGAUCUGUCCUUAGUACGAGAGGACCGGGAUGGACUUACCGCUGGUGUACCAGUUGUCUCGCCAGAGGCAUCGCUGGGUAGCUAUGUAGGGAAGGGAUAAACGCUGAAAGCAUCUAAGUGUGAAGCCCACCUCAAGAUGAGAUUUCCCAUUUCUUUAAGAAAGUAAGAUCCCUGAGAGAUGAUCAGGUAGAUAGGUCAGGAGUGGAAGUGCAGUGAUGUACGGAGCGGACUGAUACUAAUCGAUCGAGGACUUAACCAAAAA
rnacentral:rRNA from 1 species